rnacentral:rRNA from 1 species
UACGAAGGGUGCAAGCGUUACUCGGAAUUACUGGGCGUAAAGCGUGCGUAGGUGGUUUGUUAAGUCUGUUGUGAAAGCCCCGGGCUCAACCUGGGAAUGGCAAUGGAUACUGGCAGGCUAGAGUGCGGUAGAGGGUAGUGGAAUUCCACGUGUAGCGGUGAAAUGCGUAGAGAUGUGGAGGAACACCAAUGGCGAAGGCAGCCUUCUGGGCCAACACUGACGCUCAUGCACGAAAGCGUGGGGAGCAAACAGG